rnacentral:rRNA from 1 species
AUACGUAGGGAGCGAGCGUUGUCCGGAAUCACUGGGUGUAAAGGGAGCGUAGGCGGGAGUGCAAGUCAGAUGUGAAAUGCAUGGGCUUAACCCAUGAGCUGCAUUUGAAACUGCAUUUCUUGAGUGAAGUAGAGGUAAGCGGAAUUCCUGGUGUAGCGGUGAAAUGCGUAGAUAUCAGGAGGAACACCGGUGGCGAAGGCGGCUUACUGGGCUUUUACUGACGCUGAGGCUCGAAAGCGUGGGGAGCAAACAGGAUUAGAUACCCAGGCAGUCCACGCUGUAAACGAUGAUUACUAGGUGUGGGGGGACUGACCCCUUCCGUGCCGCAGUUAACACAAUAAGUAAUCCACCUGGGGAGUACGGCCGCAAGGUUGAAACUCAAAGGAAUUGACGGG